GGCGGACGGGUGAGUAAUGUAUAGUUAAUCUGCCCUUUAGAGGGGGAUAACAGUUGGAAACGACUGCUAAUACCCCAUACUCCUUUUAUCUUAAUGAUAAUUGGGAAACGUUUUUUCGCUAAAGGAUGAGACUAUAUGGUAUCAGGUAGUUGGUAGGGUAAGAGCCUACCAAGCCAAUGACGCCUAGCUGGUCUGAGAGGAUGAUCAGCCACACUGGAACUGAGACACGGUCCAG
rnacentral:rRNA from 1 species